GGUCAGAUGGCCGAGCGGUCUAAGGCGCUAGCUUCAGGUUGAUAUCUCGUCCGGAUAUCUUAGGAUUACCGGUUCUUGACGAUCUCAAUUGGCAAUGCUAGUCACGCAAGUGGCGUGGGUUCGAAUCCCACUCUGAUCA
rfam:Magnaporthe oryzae 70-15 chromosome 2, whole genome shotgun sequence.